UACAGAGGGUGCGAGCGUUGUCCGGAAUCACUGGGCGUAAAGGGCGCGUAGGCGGUUUUGUAAGUCGGGGGUGAAAUGCUGCGGCUCAACCGCAGCGCUGCCUUCGAGACUGCAAGACUGGAGCACGGUAGAGGCGGAUGGAAUUCCCGGAGUAGCGGUGGAAUGCGUAGAGAUCGGGAAGAACACCAAUGGCGAAGGCAGUCCGCUGGGCCGUUGCUGACGCUGAGGCGCGACAGCGUGGGGAGCAAACAGG
rnacentral:rRNA from 1 species